GCCUGCAUGAAGCCGGAAUCGCUAGUAAUCGCGGAUGAGAAUGCCGCGGUGAAUACGUUCCCGGGUCUUGUACACACCGCCCGUCACACCAUGGGAGUCGGGAAUGCCCGAAGUCAGUGGCCCAACCGGAAGGGGGAGCUGCCGAAGGCAGGCCCGGUGACUGGGGUGAAGUCGUAACAAGGUAAC
rnacentral:rRNA from 1 species